rnacentral:lncRNA from 1 species
AUUUGUACUGCUCUAGGUCAAAGAGAGUUUUAUGAUGCAGAAGAAACAAUUAAAUUAUUGGCCCAAUUCCAAAUCCCCAAACCUAAUAUCCGUUUUGAUCUCUCUCUAGCCUCUACAGACCUAUAAGUAAACCAUUUUUUUUUUCCAAUUUCAAAUACUGGCCUCCAAUUCCAUCUCCAUUCUCUGAAAUUUGAAUCGUCUUCUCCAGGUAGCUAUUUAUUUUUUAUUGUGGUUUUAUGUAUACGGUAUCAAGUGUAUAAUUAUUCUCCAACAGUUGAUUUGUAAGUUUUUGAUUUAAUCAAGUUCUUCUUUAUGAUGUGGGUUUUGAGGAUUUUGGGGACUGUAUGAAAAUACAACACCAACUUGGGAAGAAAUUUCCAGAUUAUUUGAGGAUUUCAUAUCAUUUUGACUUUCUUAUUUCUGGAUUUCUCCUCUACCACCAACUUGAAUAGAAGGAUCUAGAAUACUUUGCUUCACUGACCAUGGAAAUGUCCAGAAAUUUGAAGAAUUCAUUUCCACCGCCAUUUCACGCAAGUGGGAGAGCAGGAAGAAAAGUAAGAGAGAGAGAGUGUGUGUGUGUGUGUGGCACUGCAUAUAUAUUGGUGUGUAUAUAGUGUGUCUGUGUGUGUAAGGUGAGAAAGAAUUGGGAGAAAGUGAGAGAUAUAGAUACAGCCGUGUAUGUGAGUUUUUGGAGAAAGAAAUUGUCAUUCGAAUGAAUAAAAUAUUAGAUAGUGGACCUUGUUGAGUGACCAAAAUUGUAAAAUUACAUUUCAUAAAUAAACUUCUAUUUUGGUGUUUAAAUUCAAUAGUGUAAUCAGAUAUUAAUAUAAUUUGCAUCUUAAAAUCGUGGGACAAGGUUUUAGUCAGUUGGAUUGAUUGACUUUCUAAUUUCUAUACAUGCUGUAGUUGUUUAUGUUUUUUCAUGGAUAUGGAGAAAAAUUGGCAGAGUUACACUCACUAAACAUCAUAGAAAUUAGAUUCUUUUUUAUAAUUUUUUUCUAAAAAUGUUCGUAGUUACUGAUUUUCAGUAUAAUUUUCUACAUGGAUCUCAGUUUUUACUCUCCAUUUUUUUCGUCUACAUUUUUUUUAAUUGUAGCAUGAUUUUACGAUAAUAGUGUUUGCGCUUCUUAGCUAAACCUUCGUUUCGAAUUUCAAAUUUGAAGGUGCAAACGUGAAGCAGUGUAGGAAAAGCUUGAAAUUUGAGCAUAUUCUCCUAGUAAGUAAAUAUCGUCUUUCCUCAUUUCAUUGUUUGUGGCCUUGUUGGCAAUAUUGAAAUUGAACAAUGUUGUCUUAUUGGCUUUAUGAGUUGUUUUUGUUGCUUGUUGGUUUAAUGAAUUGUUUUUGUUGCGACGUUACCUUAAUGAAUUAUUUUUUCUCCCUUGUUAUCUUAAAUUUUAGCCCGUGCGUGUGAAACUCCUGGAUCUGCCCCUGAUACAAAGUACUUUAGCAUAACAUAUUAAUGUAAGAAAUACAAGGAAAAUAAAAGAAAGUGAUCACUCGAAUAAUUAAACUAUGAAGAGAAUCUGGAAUUCUUCAAUUAAAGCCUUCAAAUCCAUAUCCAAAUGAUUGAAUUCUAUGUUCUUUGAUAUAUAUUCUCUUUGUUUUCUCUCAAAGGUUAGCUCUCUAUAUGAUCCCCUUAGGUCUGGACAUGUUCUCCUAUUUAUAUGAUGCCAAGAAGGUUGUUUACCAAAAUAAAAUAAAGAAACCUAAAUUUUUUCGCCGUUUACCACUGAGGCAUGUGCCUAGUGUAAUUUAGGGUACAUGCAUGGGAGCCUUGGGUGCCUCAGUCACCUCAUUGGUUAAGGGCGCGUAUCAUAACUUUCUCUCCCGAUAUUUGAUUGAAGUGAUUGAAUGUGCAUUGAAAAUCUUACUCAUAGGGCUAUAAUUUUUCUAGAAUUAUCAUUUUUUCAAUUUGAACAUUCGCUAUGCCAAUAUUGGGUCUCAAUAUGAAGUUGAAAAUUAGAAGCAUAACUUUUUCGUAUGGAAGUUGAUGUAUGAUAAUAUUUUGACUAUAAUUAAUCCUUUUGACUUCGUUCCUCAUCCAAUUGACCACGAGCACUUUAAAUCUUCAUCAGGAGGUCCAAAACAUUUUUUGAGUAUUUGCAUUUUAGUCCUCGAACUUUGGAUUUGCUUUGUUUUAGCCCUUUCUCAUUCUUUCUUCCAAUUAUUCUUCGAAAGAUGAAAUUUUCCUAAUAAAAGUAGUAAAUAACAAAUUAGGUACUAAUCCAUUCAAAGAAUAACAAAAUAUCAUCAUUUAGGAUUCUAAAUAAGUGUAGAAAUUACACUUAUCAUGUGGAUGUUCUAUCAAGGUUUCAUUGCAAAACAAGAGUGGCGGGUGAUCCUUAAACUUGACUAAUAAGUAGAUUUGAUUUUUCAAAAUAAAUUAGUGUUAAAUGUACUUCUUGACAAUGGGAGGUAAGUACGCGCACCCUUCCUUUAGAAGAGCAUUUAUGGGACACCAGUUGUUGGAAAAGGGGUUAUGGUGGCAUGUUGGUAAUGGAAAACAUGUGCAAGUUUAUUAGGAAUUCAAGUUGAUGUCAACACCAUAUGGGGAUGUCACUCUUGUUCGAGUCUGGAUUGCUGCUCCAAGCAUGUAGUAUNNNNNNNNNNNNNNNNNNNNNNNNNNNNNNNNNNNNNNNNNNNNNNNNNNNNNNNNNNNNNNNNNNNNNNNNNNNNNNNNNNNNNNNNNNNNNNNNNNNNNNNNNNNNNNNNNNNNNNNNNNNNNNNNNNNNNNUCUAGUCAGGUGAUGCUGAAGCAUUUGCUUUGCGAGAAGGUUUGAUGCUGGCAGAAGGUGUGGUUAAUUGUGGUUCUUAUUGCUUUAUACCUCGAGGGGAAAUGUAGCUCACGAACUAGAAUGUUUUGUUAUUUUUGGUUCAUUCACUACUUGGAUUUUUUGUAUUUCAGUUUUUAUAUUACCUACUUUUCAAGAUGAUUUUGAUUAAUACACAUAUGAAGGUGUUGAAAGAAGGGGGGGGGGGGAAUACAAGUGAAUAAAGAAUGCCCUAUAACUCAUUACAAACAUUUUAUGAGGGAUGGUAGUAUUUCAUUUUUACAAAUUGAAUGUUCCUAUUAGUUAGUGAAUUUGUAAUUAUUCAAGCAAUUAUGAUGAUAAUAUAUUUUAUAUCAAUAAGAAAAUUUCAUUCAUAUAAUUUGACAUAUUCUAGAAUGCUUUUGAAAUAACAUAUUUAAGAAAUGGACAAGAAUCCUGCAAGUUGAAAAGUCCAUUUCCAUUUCCAUAUUUAUUUAGGGACAGUGAUGUAUAAUCAUAAUUAAUAUUUAGGGUAAUAUUACUUCGAGAGUAUUAAAAAAAAAAAAAGUAUGACAUGAACUUGCUCAUUUCAGAUUUGCGUAUGUUGAUUGUGCUAUUUUCUACUUUAUUACCAAAAUUGGCAAUACAGUUUCUUGUGGUUAGUGCUGUGUUGAUUAAUUGGUUUUAUGUUAUUACACUUUUAGGCUCUGUUUAAGUCGCAUUCUUUCAAAAAAUACAUUCUUAAACAAUGAUUUGAUAUGAUUUAAACUACGCAUUUUUCAAUAAAAUAAUAUUACACGCAAAUUCAAAACUUUUUUUUUUUCAUUUUUUAACCACACAUUUUCCACCAAUCACUAUUUCAAAUUAUAUUUUUCAAAAUAAAGUGGCUCAAACACACAUUUACCCCCUGUUUGAGUCUCAUUCUUUUGAAAAAAUACAUCUUUCAACAGUAUUUUGAGAUCAUUUCACCAACGUAUUCUUCAAUAAAAUAAUAUUACAUGUAAAUCCAAUUUUUUUUUCUUAUUUUUAACCACACAUUUCCUAUCAAUACAUUAUUUAAAAAUACAUUCUUAGAAAAAGAAUGAGGUUCAAACAAGAGCUUAAUUACGUAUGCAGUUGCACCAAAAAAAUAUUUAAUGAAUUUUCAAUUAGCUUUAUUAAAUUCUUUUUAAAUAUUAAAUUAUGCCGGCUUUUUAAUUAUAUAUCAACCUUUUUUUUUUAAAUCCAUUUUAUAAUUUUUUAAAUUUAAUAGCAAUAGUUAUAAUUUUUUUUCUUUUUUAACUAAAAUGAUCUCAUCUAAUAAAUAAUAAAAAGAAAGUAAUUUAAUUUAAAUAUUAAAAAUAGUACGUAAGGGUAAAAUGAAAAUGAUUAUUAUUUACCUUUUGCUGAGGAGAGAAUAUGUUAUCAAGAGAAAUUUUUUUAGGAGAUUUAUGAAAUUUUUGAAAAUAGAGAGGAUGUGUACGUAAUUGUCAUAAACGUGAGGAAAAGUUUAUGUAACUUGUUCUACCUUUUAUAAAUAUGAAAGUUUCCUUCCUAUGCUUUGAGAUACUAAACUGUUUAUUGUAGAAUGACAUUUUUAAAUAGCAUAAUCAAGAGAAGGACAAGGUUUUUCGCAAAAUGAAAUUCCUUUUCUUUUUUAAUAUAUAAGGAUGAAUAAUCAUAUAGAAUAGAAGAUUGAGAUAUCUUCCUUGAACAAAUCAUGAUAAGUAGCCAGCCUGUGUGUUUAUUAUUUUUUCUAUUAUAUUUAGGUUUUGUUUGGUUCCCACUUUUUUAAAAUUUAGUUUUUCUUUUUUUUUUUUUUUUAAAAAUCAUUUUCAAUCCCAUAUUUAACAUAAUUUACUAUUUUAUCAAUUUAUCAACCUUAAUAUAUGCACAUUUUUAGUUUUAUUCAAAGGUUGUCACGUAAUUCUUCAUUUUUAUAAUCCAAAAAGUCAAAGAAAGCAUGUUUUGUUUUCUUGUGGUAAUCCAGUUCUUAAACAGGUAGAGACCAGUAAUCCAAACUAGACAUAAUCAUGGAGAAAUCUCACUACUUUGCUGCUGCAAUUCUUUUGAUAGUCACUCUAAUGGUGUGUUUGGCCAUGUCGGAAACCAAUGUCACUACAGAUCAAGCUUCUCUUUUGGCAUUGAAAGCACAAAUCUGUUUAGACUCUUCAGGAAUUCUGUUGAAGAACUGGUCAUCUUCUGCCUUGGUUUGUGACUGGAUUGGAGUCACUUGUAGUUCUCGCGACCAAGAGUGACUGCAUUGGAUAUUUCUGGUGUGAAUCUUAUUGGAAACGUACGGCCUGAUUUGUGAAAUCUCUCUUUCUUGUUUCUCUCAAUGUAAGUCACAAUAAUUUUUAUAAUACUCUGCCUGAAAGCUUAGCUCAAUUGCGUCAGCUAAGAAUAGUUUAUAUUAGUUUCAACAAUUUCAGUGGAUAAAUUCCAUCGUGGUUUGGUUUCAUGCCCGAACUGAAAGUUGUGAAUGUUAGAAAUAACAGUUUUACUGGCUUCAUCCCACCCUCACUAUUUAACAUAUCUAGUGUCCAGGAUUUGGAUUUGUCUUUCAAUUCCCUACCAAGAAGAGUCCUAGAAGACAUAGGAAAUCUUUCAUAUUUGAAAAUGCUGAAAUUACAAUACAACAGGUUUAUUGGUGUAAUACCGUUGACAAUUUUCAAUAUCUCCACAAUGGAAAGUCUUGCUUUGAUAGGGAAUAGUUUGUUCGGUAAUUUCCUUGUUGGCAUAUGUCAUGGACUUCCAAGAGUCACAGGGCUUUAUCUAUCUUCAAGUGAAUUGGAUGGCGAUAUUCCUUUGUAUCUAUCAGAAUGUUCACAACUUCAGCUCCUUUCCCUGUCACACAACAAAUUUAGCGGAUCCAUUCCAAGAGAAAUUGGGUGCACAAGGAUGCUUCAGACUUUAUAUCUUGUUUCAAAUGAUUUGUUAGGUAUUUGAAUCAUCAUUGAUGUUGUGUUAGUACUUUAAAUUCUUAUUUAAAAUGAUUUUCGAUCAUCGAUGUAAUGAUGUUUUUAUCCAAAUCAACAUGUUGAAAAUAUUGACAGGUGAAAUUCCACAAAAGUUGGGUAACUUAGAGAACCUCGUCGAGUUAGGCAUGGGAGAUAAUUUCCUUACAGGCUCUAUACCAAUAAGUAUCUUUAACAUUUCAUCGUUGCAAUAUAUCAACAUUGCUCAGGGCAACCUAUUUGGUACACUCCCGGUAAAUAUUUGCUCUCCUCGUAACCAACUUGAAGAGGUUUAUUUGCAUCUAGACGAAUUAAUUGGCCCUGUUCCCACACGAAUAAAUGAAUGCUCUGCACUUCAGAUUUUGUCGUUAUCCUACAUUAAUUUUAGUGGAUCAAUACCACUAGGGCUUGGGAAUUUAACCAUGCUUCGGAAGCUAUAUGUUGGAUAUAAUGAGUUGACAGGUAGGACUUUCUAUAACUUAACUUUUGAGUUUGUCCUUUGUAUUCUUAUACAGAAAAUUAAAGACAGUUGCUGUUUUAAAGUUUGAGCAUUUCAUAAUUCUGUAGGUGUAAUUCCACAAGAGAUCGGAAAUCUUUACAACUUGGAGUAUCUUUAUUUUGGUGUCAAUAGCUUAAGCGGUUCCAUUCCACCAAGAAUUUUCAAUAUCUCAACAUUACUAAUGAUUUCAGUUUCAGAAAAUCAGCUUUCGGGCAAUCUGGAUAGGUUGAUUUUGGGAUAUCAGCUUCUUAAUCUUGAAGAACUCUAUUUGAACCAUAAUAAUUUCUAUGGAAGAAUACCAAAUUCUAUUGCAAAUUCUUCUGAGCUCACUAUACUAAACCUUUCUUUCAACAAUUUUACCAGACCAAUUCCCAACUUCUUAUGAGAUUUGAGAUUCCUUAAAGCGGUAUAAUUGAGUGACAACAAUUUUAUUAGUGAAUCUCCAGAAUUGAGCUUCACCACUUCAUUCACGAACUGCAGAUUUUUUAUAAAUUUGGGUUUCGGCAAUAAUCCCUAGAAUGACAUUCUUCCAGUUUUAGUUGAAAAUCUUUCCACUUCUCUUCUAUAUCUUUAUGCUGAUAAUUGUGAUCUCCGAGGUAGCAUUCCAUAUGAAAUUGGAAAUCUUAGCAGUUUGAUAGUGUUAAGUCUGUAUGGCAAUCAGUUGACACGAUCAAUACCAGGAAGCGUGGUGGAUUUGCAGAAGCUUCAAGGAUUGACUCAUUUCCGCAACAAAAUAUGAUCCUGGAUACUCUUUGUGAACUUCACAAUUUAAAGGGGUUGUUGUUGUCUCAUAAUCUAAUGAUAGGUGCCAUUCCAUAUUGCGUGGGGAAUAUUACUACACUAAGAUCUCUAUAUAUAGAUUCCAACAGAUUGACCUCCAUCAUACCUCUGAGCCUGUGGCUCUAGAAGGAUCUUCUGGAGUUGAAUCUAUCUUCAAAUUUUUUGAGUGGUCAUCUCCCUCGAGAAAUAGGGAAUCUGAAGGUUGCUCUUCUUAUUGAUCUAUCGGUGAAUAAGUUCUCAGGUAGCAUUCCAACCACAAUUGGAGAUUUACAAGGCUUGAUCAAUCUUUCCUUAGCACACAACACACUGCAAGGGUUUAUUCCUGAGUCAAUAGAUAAGCUGCUGAACUUGGAACGACUCGUUCUAAAUCACAACAAUCUUUCUAGUAAAAUUCCCAAUUCCUUGGAGACACUAAAUUAUCUCCCAUACUUUGAUGUUUCAUUCAAUGAUUUAAGUGGUGAAGUUCCCUCUAGUGGUCCUUUCAAAAACUUUCCAAGUUGAUUCUAAUUGUCUAAUAAAGGACUAUGUGGUGAUCCUGUAUAUGGUCUCCCACCAUUUCAUACUAUUGGAAAUGGUAGACAUAAGGGACGAAAAGUGAUGCUUGGAGUUGUAUUUGCUUUGUCGGGUAAUAUAGCACUAAUUAUAGUUGCUAUAGCCUUGGCAUGUGCAGUUAUAAGUUACAGAAGGAAAAAUUUGGGGAAAAGUAUAACAGAAUUUGCGACUGGCACAACGCUACCAAGGGUCUCAUAUUAUGAGCUUAUGUGAGCUAUUGAAGGGUAUAGUGAAAGCCAUUUACUUGGAUCUGGGAGUUUUGGCUGGGUCUAUAGAGGAACUCUUAAUAAUGGAAGGGAUGUGGUAGUGAAGGUGUUCGAUUUGCAACACCAAAAUGCAUUCAAGAGUUUUGAUGUAGAAUGUGAUGUCUUCCACAAUCUAUGGCAUCGAAAUUUGUGCAAAGUCAUCAGUACUUGCUCCAAUCAAGAUUUCAAGGCCUUGGUACUUUAGUACAUAUGUAAUGGAAGCCUUGAAAAGUGGUUAUAUUCAGAAAGCUAUUUCUUGGAUAGCUUGCAGAGAAUAAACAUAUUGAUAGACACAACAUGUGCAUUGGAAUAUCUGCAUUUUGGUCACUCAACACAGACUGUUCAUUGUGAUUUAAAGCCAAGUAAUGUAUUGCCGGAUGAAGAUAUGGUUGCCCACUUGUCUGAUUUCAGGAUUGCAAAGUUAUUGGGUGAAGGAGAAAGUAGUGCACAUACUACAACCUUGGAAACAUUGGGUUACAUUGCACAAAGUAAAGCUUCUAUCUUUUCUCUUGAAUAUUUAGGUACAUUUGGUACACACUAAAGAAAAAUUAGAUAAGAGAUAAAUUCAGUCUAGCAUAAUUUUUUUUUUUUGGCUAAAUAAGUCCUUGUAAUAAGAUAACUAGUGUGGGAACACGGGUUGAAGGAGGAUUUGACUCAACUAAAAACAUAGUAGAUGGCAUCAAGAACAAUUAUCCAUAAAGGAUUCAGUCAUAUGAUUAUCUCUAUAAUUUUCGUCCUCAAUUGUCGAAGACAAUUCCCUAGGAUGGGAUUUUGUCAUAUGCUUAGCAGCAUUUCGAUUUCUAAACAAACUAGACUUAGGGUAAAAAUAUUUCAGAGCUUAGAAAUAUUUUAAAUUAUUUUUUGCAAAAAAAUAAAAAUAAAAAAGUCAUGUUAUGUAUGUUUUUCAUUAUAAUACACAAAUUUUGUCAUAUACUUAGCAAAAUUUCGAUUUCUGAACAAACUAGAGUUAGGGUAAAAAUAUUUCAGAGUUUAGAAAUAUUUUAAAUUAAUUUUUGCAAAAAAAAAAAAAAAGAGUCAUGUUGGGUAUGUUUUUCAUUAUAAUACACAAUUACACAUUACACAACUUAUUAUGUUUCUAAUACUAUAUAGCAUCAAACACGAGACAACUCAUAUAUUUCAUAAUGUUUGUGUAGAGUAUGGAUUGGAAGGAUCGGUGUCAAUAAGAUCAAAUGCUUAUAGCUAUGGUAUUAUGUUAAUGGAAAUAUUUACCACAAUGAAUCAAGCAGUGAAAUAUUUUAUGGGGAAUUAAGCCUCAGGAGCUGGAUUAGUGAUUCUAUGCCCAAUGGAAUUACUCAAAUUAUAGAUUCGAGCUUGUUGGCUCCAUAAGAAGAAUAUUAUACAGGAAAGUUGAAAUGUUUGUCAUCUAUAAUGGAACUAGCUUUAAAUUGCUCCAUGUAAAGUUCAAAUGAGAGGGUGAAUAUGAAAGAAGUAGUCGUAACAUUGAAGAAGAUCAGAGAUCAGAUCCUGGCAUAGUAUCCGAAGACAAAAAGGCAACUUUAAUGUUCCAUAGUUUUAGGUUAAGUGCAAAAUGCAAAUUGUUCUCUCUGUAUAUGAUGGUUCUGUGAUACUAUUAGUUUGCCAUGUUCUUUAGUCUGUCACCUUAUAAAACAUACAAUAAAAGGUAUGUUAAAAAUGUCUUAGUUUGCAAGUUGAAUCCUCAAUACUUUUGUACUCGAACCACUUUUCAUUUUCAAUCUAGUUCUGAAAUUCAAAGGUUUAUUCAAGAUGGCUGUAUAUACACAACAAUGGAAGCACUCUGCUGGUAGAUCCUUUGGAAUUUCUUCCAUACUUAGGCUUUCUUGAUGUCUUAAUACUUUUUCGAUAUUUCUGUAGAUUUCCCGCGUUUCAAUGAAUUUUUAUUUUAUUUUUUGUUUGAAUUACUAAAUAAAAAUGGAAUGGAAAUAGAAGCUUGGCAAGUUUUCGAGACCUGCCGCUCUCUCCAUUUUUUUCCCUAGCAACCUGUUAGAAUCACUACAUUUCCCUCCCUCUUUAUUCAUAUUCUGGCUGAAAUUGCAUUCCAGAAGAUUCCAAAUUACACCCCUAAUUGAAAUAACAAAAUAAAUGGUACAAUCCCCAAUAAUCAGAGCCGUAGAUUUUCUAUGCAUCUAAAUAAUAUGAAAGCCUAUCGAUACGGUGCCACCAAAAUUCACCUUGUCCUCAAGGUGAUAGUUCGGGAAAUUUAUGGCUCAUUGAUCUUUGAAAACCAGCCAUAUGAUCAAGAGCUAAUGUGAUCUAUAAUUUAGCAACAAGAAGGAUUAAGAGCACGUUAAAAACCAGCCAUACGAGUGAAAAUAUGUCCAUCACUCAUGCUGGACAGAAAGACAGCACAUGCACAUACACGAACACGAUAUGGGAGUUUAGAACCAGUGCGUACGUGUACGCGUGCUAAUGCAUGCACAUGCAUGAACCUGAGUAGUUGUCUCAUGUACUAGAUGACGCUUGACAAAUUUUUUAUUAUUUUGGUAAUUUUAUUUAUUUUAAAUAGUCUAAGAAGGUUUAUUUAUUCUGAAAAGUUCAAAUGAGAGGAUAAAUAUGAAAGAAGUUGUCGUAGUAUUGAAGAAGAUCAGAUCCCAGAUCCUGUCAUAUUACCCGGAGACAAAAAGCCAACCUUAAUAUUCCAGAGUUUUAGGUUAGGAGUGUAAUGCAAUGUGUUCUCUGUGUAUAUGAUGAUUCUGUUAUUCUAUUAGUUUGCUAUAUUCUUUAGUCUAACGUAUAUUGUGUCGAUUACAUUAGAAGGCAUACAAUAAAAGGUGCAUUAAAAAUUUCUUAGUUUACAGGUUGAAUCCUCAAUAAUUUUGUAGUCAAACCACUUGUCUUUUUCAAUCUAAUUCUGAAAUGUAAUGUACUCAUAUAGUCAAUGUUAUACUUCACUCAAUUACAGUCAAAGUCAAGGAAUUAUAUAGUCAAUGUUAAAGUCAAAUAAGGAUUUAAGUUGGAGGAAUGAUUUUCAUGGGGUUUAAAUUGAAAUUGCUAGUACUUAAGAGGGGCCGAAAUGAUAUAAAAAUAAAUUUUGGGAUUUAGCUUCUAGUAUGAUAAAUAAGAUGAUUAAAUGUUAAAUUAUAUAAAGGUUGGGGACUUGUAUUGUAAUUAUAGUUAUGGGGUGAAAUUUGAAAUACCUUAAUAUAAAAAAAUUAAAAAGAAAAAGAAAAAGAAAAUGGUCAGGCGGUGAAUUCAAUCCAAUUCACACAUAAAUGAAAAGAAAACCCAUUUCAUUCACAUAUACAUAGAGAGAGAAAAAGAGGCAGGAAGAGAAAUGAGGAAGGAAAAAGAAGAAGAAAAAUGGGAGAAGAGGAAGAAAAAAAAUAGGAAAGUUCGCCAUGUUGUUAGAAAAUAAAUGGUCUACAUUAUUUGGCUUGAAUUCUUGAAUUUUGAAAGGUAAGUAAAAAAUUACUUUUUGUCAAGUUAUAUUUGAUUUUAUAGUUAUUAGAUUGUUAGAUUAAAUUCAAUUUUAUUAAAGGGGUUAAGUAUAAUAAACUAUAAAAUAAAGUUAAAUGAAAGAAAAACUAGUUUUAGUGAUUAAAGAGACUUUGUAAAUUAUAUCGAGAUACGGAUAUCGAGAUAGCUUACCAACCAAGUUGAUAGUGGCGUACAUAGUUCUGUGAGUAGAAAAAUAUAAUUAUUUUAAAAGUAUUUGUAAAUUAAGUAUAUUAUCAAAGUAUGUGCAAUUAUGUAAAUUAUUUGCUCGAUUAUGUGAUUACGAUGAAAAUUUCUUUUAGUAUGAUCCAUAAGGAAUUUCAAGGAUUAUUUAUGGUAUGUUUGUGAUUUGGUAUAUGAGACAUGUGAUACCUAUGAUUAUAUACUUCUUCUAAUUCACAGAAGGGCUUUGGCCGUGUUCUAUCCUACACAGAGGGUCUUGACAUGACAUUGGUCUUGAUAGUGUACAUAUAGUUCAUAGAGGGACUUUACCAGUGUUUCAUAAUUGAUUAUCAGAGGUCUUUGAGAUCGGCUUUCAUUCACGGAGGGGGCCAAAGGCCCGUGGCGAAAGUUCUUAGCCCGAGGGACGGAUUAUAAAUUUCAGUCAGAGGGUACAUUUUUUAUGGAUUUUCCAGUACAUUUGAUGUGAUGAGAUUAUAGCAUAAUUACCAGCUUAUGUUUAUAUCAUGAUUUGAGAUGAUAUUUACGAAGUUAUGAGAAUGUCUCACUUUUUGUCUAUAAUUUUAUGAGGCUAUCAUGUGAAUUACUAAACGAUAUGAACUUGAUGCCUAUGUAUGAGAAAAAUGUUUAAAUGAGAAAGUAUAAUUAUUUUCGAACUCUUCCACUCACUGAACUAUAAACUCAUAUUUUUUUCACGAUUUUUCUUACAGGUAGUAUUGGUCCCUGAUAGCUUGAGGAGCCUGGCGGUUUUAGAAUUAGAGCCACUCGACAUAUUGAGUGAUACGAUUCAUUUUGGUAAAACAUGAAGUAAUUAUUUCGGGCCCAUUGAAUUAUAUUUUUCAUAAAUAUUUGAUUUUGGCGCAUAUUUUGUAGUAAGUCAUAGUCAGCCAUGGUGGUAGAUCUGAUAUCUAGUCAGCAUCUAUCAUCGGCGCACGUCAUGUUCCUAGUCCAUUAGGGUGAUUCGGGAUGGGGAGUGUCAGUCAAAAGCUCAAUUAUGCUGCUAAGAGCCAAUUUUUACAAGGUUUAUUCACAAGAAUGAUGGCUUUCACGUCAUAAUUAUUGUGAAUUUUCCUAGACAAUUUUACAUUAUAUUGUUCAGCCUUAAAUCACCAUCUUUAUUAGAAAUAGUUUCCUGUUAUUUUGUGUUAUCCAGCUGGCAAUUCCAACUGUCGAUUAGUUAGCUUAUCAGUUAGAUAUCUGUUUGUUUCGCACGGGUUAAGUCGCUAACAAUUAAAAAGGGUCAGACGAUUGUGUAAGGGACGAAACCUCUUGAGACAAAGUCCCAAAAAGGGGUGUUCUUUUAUUGGCGAUGACUUCACAAUUGGAAAUGAAAAACAACGUGCCUCCAAGGGGCGCAAGUACACGAGUUACUGAAAGAAAAGUGUUUAAGUCUAAAAACUAAGGAAAUGAAAAUUACAUAUUCUCUGUUCGAGAGUUUUGGAUUCGCUCUUGCUUCUAUGUUCCUUUUCCCUUUUAUACUUCACAGACGAUCUCUUUGUGAUUAACUGCUCUAAAAACUGCUUGAUCGUCCUAUAACUACCCACUUUCUUCGUAGUGGCCAUUUUGUCAUGAAAAUUGUCUUUUAACUGCUGCCAUUACCUUUCAUCGUUCAACCGCUUUUCAAUUGAAUUCCUUGAGUCAUGGAACGUGAUAGGGCUGCUUUAACAACUGCCUUGGUAACUGCAUUUCUUGAUAACCACGACGCGUUAUGUCUGUUGAUACCUUGGGCGAUUUGAAGGUUUGGGCGAGAAUAGAAUAACAGCUCUGGGCGACCGUAUGACACCCUAUUCGUUCAGAUUCUGGACGACUUGCAAACUUGGGCGAUGGCGUUACCACAUUCUUGGGCCCCCUUAUUUGGGCCUUCACCUUGAUUAGUUCGAUUGGACUUCGUUCUUUGGGCUAUCCGAUUUGGGGAUCCUCCAAUUGGGCUUUACUCCUUGGGCUGUUCGAUUUGGGCUGAAUUUUUAUGUAUCAACAAUACCUCCCCAAUAUGGCAGAAUUAAUAACAAUUAUUGAAUUUUGCCAUAUUCACUUCGUGUUUCUAGCAACGUUCGAAAUUCCCAAGAAUUUCAAUCACUGUUUCCUUCUAUAACUUGAAAAGGUGCGUCGUUUUGCAAACCCUUAUAAACCCCAAACACGCCAUUUCACUGCUACCAAACCACGCCUUAUAUUUUUAGCGUCUCUUUCACGAUUCACUGUUCAUCUUUUGCUUCCUUGUUACGUAACCCUGAAAAGCUUCGUUCCUUCUCCAAUGGCUGCUUCACAAUCUCAGGCUAGCGACUCCUUUAGUUUUGAUGACUUUCAGAGACUUCUGAGUCGCCCAUACAUAACCCCAAGUUUUCUCGCACCCGCCGACGUUGGACGUAAUGAGUUCUAUUUGGGUCCUUUCUUCAACAAUGCGGAGGCAGUUGAACAGGCGGCGGUGGGUCAGCUGUUUCCCUACACUCAGGGUCCUCCAUUCCUGAACUCUCUACUGCUGGGGCCACUUCGCGGAAGAGGUAUUCGCACUUGGCCUAAAUCUGAUGUAGCUUUUCGUAGGUGGCAUGCUCGUCUUGUGGGUCAUGGUCCUACUAAAGCACUUUUUGAUAGUGCUAGGAUCUCUGAUUUGUUAGAAGUCUCUAUUCGUCCCCCUACUUUUGAUUCAGCGCUCUUUUCGAUUGCUUUGAGUUUUUGGUUCCCUGAGUAUAACACCUUUAUUUUUCCUCUUGACCCCAUGUCUAUUACGUUAAGGGAUGUUAGGGCUCUGCUGAAUCUGCCACCUUUGGGCGAUACUAUUUUCCUCGGUAUCUUAGUUUCUGGUGGCGCCCCAAAGUUUGGCAAAAACUACACCGAUUCUUAUUCAAGCCUGCAGACCCUCCACAAUCAUUCGAGCGCUGAGCUUACCCAUGCUGAGCGAGUGGCCUUUCUUUUAGUUUGGCUUUGUAAAUAUGUUUUGUGCGUGCCAAGUAUAAAGCCUUCUCUGAGUUAUUUACCUAUAGCGCACGAAUUGGCGCGUGGCAGGCCUUUGAAUUUAUGUUCUUUGUUUUUGGCUGCCCUUUAUAGAGGCAUGACUUUUCUUCAAGCUCAACUGAAGAAUGGUGCAUCUCCCACUAGCAGUGGACCUCUUUGGUUCACUCAACUGUGGUUGAGAUCCUAUUUUCCAUCGCUUGGUGCUCCAUCCAUUUCUCGUCCUUCUGCUAGCUGUUACGGGCUAGCUAUGGAGCCCUUAACUCCUGUAAAUAUGUCUAGAAGGGACAUUUUUUCAUUCUUUUAUUCUUUAGAUUCAAUCUCUUCCUUUUUUCCUUUCCCUCCUUUCUUGACUCCAAACUAUGUACAUCCCCCUUCCACUAUAGAUAGCGCGAGCACCUCUCUGCUCAUUUGGAUCCAGUUUUUAACUAGGAGGGAGCUUUUCCAUGAUAUCUUAACUGGGACCAAUGCCAAAGUGGGGGUAGAAAUUUAUGCUCCCCAAUUUUUUGCUCGUCAGCUUGGUUUUGGCCAAACUUGGCCUGUUCCUCUUUGCUAUUCGAAAAACUUAAUUGACCGUUUUCAUACCAUUAAUAAGGCGGAAGCAGAGACUAUAAACGCUCGCAACCUCCAUUUAUCAAGCCACUUCUCAUUAGCCCCUUUUAAUUCUUGUCAUGCCACUCACCCUCUUUUUGAACAACUCUGGCCAUCGGUGAAGCGCAGAUUAUUUGCGACUGAGGCCAAUCGUGCCUUUCAUUCAUUAGACCAACCGAGUAUUUCUUCUCCUCCUCCUGUUUUGGUCACUCCUUUGUCUAUUCGGAGCCCCUCUCCUUCUCGUCGCACUAAACAAUCUGUUCGCCCAUCUUCUUCUCUCCCUGCCAGGCCUACUACGGCCAAGAGUGCUCCAAGCCGCAAACGGCCAGCCUCAGCAUCUCCCAUUCUGGAGGAUGAUGUUGAUGAUGAUGAUGAUGAUGCCCCUCUUAUCGUCAGGAGGAAGGUAAUU